UGUACUAGACCACCUAGGACGUCGACACAUGCUCCUAGCUUGAGAGUGUCAAUGGGGCAAGUCUCUUGCUUUGGCGGUGGUGGUGGGCAUGGCACUGGAGGUGGUGGAGGAGGAGGGCAUGGCGUUUCAGUUGGUGGUGAUGGUGGUUUUACAGGUGGGGUCACUGGAGGCUUUGGUGGUGCUGGGGUUACAGGUGGACUUGGAUAGUAGGGUGGCGUUGGAGUUACCGGAGGCUUUGGUGGUAAAGUUGGUGGUGUUGGGACCACCGGAGGUUUAGGUGGUAAAGUUGGUGGCGUCGGGACCACCGGAGGCUUUGGUGGCAAAGUUGGUGGUGUUGGGGUCACCGGAGGCUUUGGUGGUAAAGUUGGUGGUGAUGGGGUCACCGGAGGCUUUGGUGGUAAAGUUGGUGGUUUCGGUGGGUAAACGAUAGGCGGUUUUGGAUAAUAUGGUGGCGGUUUUGGUGGUAAAGUUGGUGGUUUCGGUGGGUAAACGAUAGGCGGUUUUGGAUAAUAUGGUGGCUUUACAACAGGAGGUUUGGGUACCAAAGGUGGCGGCUUUACUACAGGAGGUUUUGGCACAUAGGGUGGGUGAACAAUUGGAGGCUUGGGUGUGAUAGGUGGUUUAGGCACAUGUGGCGGUUUGGGCGUGGUUGGUGGUUUCACAAUGGGUGGCUUGGGUACGUGCGGUGGUUUGUGGACAGGAGGCUUGGGUAUAUAGGGUGGUUUGUGAACAGGAGGCUUGGGUGGUUUUGGUGGUUUAUGGUGAGGAGGUGGCUUUACCUUUGGGGGAUGUUUGGGUGGAAAUUUGGGAGGAUAUUUGGGUGGCUUAGGUGGUGGAGUUGGGUAAG
rnacentral:lncRNA from 1 species